AGACCCCUUUCCUCCCAGUUUUGGGUGGAGAAUUGUCGGUUGUCCCAGCAGUAAUGCGGGACUCUGAUUAAAAGCAGUAGGUUAUGUGGUCAGGCUGGUGGCCUGGGACAUUGUGUGCUAGAGACACGGUUAAGUCCGUAAGUCUUCCUCACAAUGGGUCCUGGGUCCUCUGCAAAGAAAGCCGGUCAGAUCACGACCUCCUCAGCACUACUAUCCCGAAACGGAUAAUAGUACAACCCCAAC
rnacentral:misc_RNA from 1 species